GACGAACGCUGGCGGCGUGCUUAACACAUGCAAGUCGAACGGCAAGGCCCUGCUUUUGUGGUGUUCUCGAGUGGCGAACGGGUGAGUAACACGUGAGUAACCUGCCCUUGACUUUGGGAUAACUUCAGGAAACUGGGGCUAAUACCGGAUAGGAGCUCCUGCUGCAUGGUGGGGGUUGGAAAGUUUCGGCGGUUGGGGAUGGACUCGCGGCUUAUCAGCUUGUUGGUUGGGUAGUGGCUUACCAAGGCUUUGACGGGUAGCCGGCCUGAGAGGGUGACCGGCGACAUGGGGACUGAGAGACGGACCAGACUCCUACGGGAGGCAGCAGGGGGGAAUAUUGCACAAUGGGCGGGAGCCUGAUGAAGAAACGCCGCGUGCGGGAUGACGGCCUUCGGGGUGUAAACAGCUUUAGCCUGUGACGAAGCGUGAGUGACGGUAAUGGGUAAAGAAGCACCGGCUAACUACGUG
rnacentral:rRNA from 1 species